CCUACGGGUGGCAGCAGUGAGGAAUAUUGGUCAAUGGACGCAAGUCUGAACCAGCCAUGCCGCGUGCAGGAAGACGGCUCUAUGAGUUGUAAACUGCUUUUGUACGAGGGUAAACGCAGAUACGCGUAUCUGUCUGCAAGUAUCUUAUGAAUAAGGAUCGGCUAACUCCGUGCCAGCAGCCGCGGUAAUACGGAGGAUUCAAGCGUUAUCCGGAUUUAUUGGGUUUAAAGGGUGCGUAGGCGGUCGGAUAAGUUAGAGGUGAAAUCCUGAGGCUCAACCUUGGAAUUGCCAUUGAUACUGGUCGGCUAGAGAGUAGUUGCGGUAGGCGGAAUGUAUGGUGUAGCGGUGAAAUGCUUAGAGAUCAUACAGAACACCGAUUGCGAAGGCAGCUUACCAAGCUACUUCUGACGUUGAGGCACGAAAGCGUGGGGAGCAAACAGGAUUAGAUACCCUAGUAGUC
rnacentral:rRNA from 1 species